GACGGCACACACUGUAGCUAUUAUCUAAUCAUCUAAUAAUUAGCUCGACAUUUAGAAAAGGGCCUCGAGGGCCUUGGGAUGACACUGCCUUUUUCAGAUGCAAAGAUACUGUGAUUUUGCACUUGUGCCGAGCAAGAUGAGAGCAGAAGGGAAAAAUGACCCCAGGUUUUGCACGCCCUCAUCAGCCCUGAGCAGAGGCAGAUGAUUGGAGAGCUAAUGGAGCGUCAUCUUCAGGGCCCCUCAACUGCACAGCCCUGAGUGUUCUGUGAAAUUUCCGAGUGAAGAGGCUGUGGAGGAGAAAGCAGCCUUCCGCCCCAACACCUGGAGCACUGCUGUCCUUCAGUUUCCCUCAAUAGCCCCUGGAACAGAUGACCAGGGAAAAGCAUGUGAUUUCAGCCAGGACACGGAGGAGAGAGGCUACUCCUGAUGGCCAGGGCCCCAGGCAAGAUCUUGAACUAUCAAGGACUAAAGAUAAUCCCCCUUGGACUCCUGCCUUUAAAGAAAUCUCCACCAGGACCUCUUGAAAGACUCAUGGCACAUGUUUAAAUUAAAUAAGAAUCUGAAAGAGGACGGAUAUGUAUAUACGGAUGACUGAGUCACUUUGUUGGACAGCAGAAAUUAUCACGACCUUGUAAAUCAACUCCAAUAAAACUUAAAAAAGUUAAAUGUAGCUUGUAUGG
rnacentral:lncRNA from 1 species